UACGUAGGGUGCGAGCGUUAAUCGGAAUUACUGGGCGUAAAGCGUGCGUAGGCGGUUGGCCAAGUCAGCUGUGAAAUCCCCGGGCUCAACCUGGGAACUGCAUCUGUGACUGCAUCGCUGGAGUGCGGCAGAGGGGGAUGGAAUUCCGCGUGUAGCAGUGAAAUGCGUAGAUAUGCGGAGGAACACCGAUGGCGAAGGCAAUCCCCUGGGCCUGCACUGACGCUCAUGCACGAAAGCGUGGGGAGCAAACAGG
rnacentral:rRNA from 1 species